rnacentral:rRNA from 1 species
UACGUAGGGGGCUAGCGUUGUCCGGAUUUAUUGGGCGUAAAGAGCGUGUAGGCGGCCAGGUAGGUCUGCUGUGAAAACUCGAGGCUUAACCUCGAGAUGUCGGCGGAAACCAUCUGGCUAGAGUCCGGAAGAGGAGAGUGGAAUUCCUGGUGUAGCGGUGAAAUGCGCAGAUAUCAGGAAGAACACCCGUGGCGAAGGCGGCCCUCUGGGACGGUACUGACGCUGAGACGCGAAAGCGUGGGGAGCGAACAGG